GGUGCAAUCUGGUUCUUACAAUGAAUAUACUACAGCCAACAUACACCUCAGGGUUUCGAAUGGCUAAGAGACCGAGUUAUGGUGUAGUCAAACUAUAACACACUCAAGGUGAACUGUCGAUGUAUCUCAGGUUAAAGAACUAGACAUACAGCUGCAGCAUCGAGCUAGUCAUCGAUGAGAAGGUAGACUUCCUUAUGAC
rnacentral:lncRNA from 1 species